rnacentral:rRNA from 1 species
CUACGGGCGGCAGCAGUGGGGAAUAUUGCACAAUGGGCGCAAGCCUGAUGCAGCCAUGCCGCGUGUAUGAAGAAGGCCUUCGGGUUGUAAAGUACUUUCAGCGGGGAGGAAGGGAGUAAAGUUAAUACCUUUGCUCAUUGACGUUACCCGCAGAAGAAGCACCGGCUAACUCCGUGCCAGCAGCCGCGGUAAUACGGAGGGUGCAAGCGUUAAUCGGAAUUACUGGGCGUAAAGCGCCGCAGGCGGUUUGUUAAGUCAGAUGUGAAAUCCCCGGGCUCAACCUGGGAACUGCAUCUGAUACUGGCAAGCUCGAGUCUCGUAGAGGGGGGUAGAAUUCCAGGUGUAGCGGUGAAAUGCGUAGAGAUCUGGAGGAAUACCGGUGGCGAAGGCGGCCCCCUGGACGAAGACUGACGCUCAGGUGCGAAAGCGUGGGGAGCAAACAGGAUUAGAUACCCUCGUAGUC